rnacentral:lncRNA from 1 species
GGGUUUCAACCAAGGGUCAUUUGAUAAACUACUACUCCUUAUUACUGCUAAGUAGCCUCAUCAUAAUCAACAGGCUCUAAUACGACAAUCACUCGCAGUAAUACAGGCUAAGCUAAAGGAAAUCCAACUCUAAUUGCAUACUCUAAUAAACAGAAUUCAGAGCAGGUCACUACACUAUAUAACACGAUCUAAUUAUAAAUUACAACCAUGCUUUGAUAAAUGCAUUAGACAAAAUCCAAUUGUGGUAUACUGAUCAAAAAACAACUGAAGGAAUAAAGAUUAAAGUCAAUGAACCAGCACUAAACUUUAUCUUAUUCCAAUACUUUGCAUUACACAAUAGGUGGAUUCCAUAGGGUUGAAUAAUACCUGGGAUAAGAAAAGGAAACAAAGGAGAGAGUGAAGAUCAGUAGGUCGCAGCAACAGCAAGUCAACAGCCUAAUUCCACCAGAAUGGUGACCCAACAAAUCACAUAACCCCUAAAAAAUAGCUACUACUCCAACUUCGAAUCAUUUCAGCUCAAAAGAAUUCGAUGAUAGUUUCAAAAAAUGAAAGCAAACUCCGAAAACCAAAGAAUCAUAUAUCAGUUCAAUAGAAUAGUGUUUUCCUUUCUCAAGCCAACCAGCUCUUUUUUUAUAUUUUUUUAAACUCCUAAAAUCUCUUAAGCUUACGAAACAGUAAAUGUAUGCAACCUUUAUUUCCUGGAUUUUCAGCUCUUCAAAAUCUCUAAAGAUGCAGCUUUGUUUUCUGGAGAUUUUAGCCUUUAAACCUUGCCUUGAAAGGCAAGAAUGUUACCUUAUAUAGGCUCCACUAUAGGGCAGCCCUGAAGAUUUUGUUUUGCAUUUUAAUUCCUUUUAAACUCUUAUUUUUAGCUUAGGAACCCCCUUACUUAUUGACGUGCUGCCCAAGCUACACCACUAUAAUUCUAAAAUUACAACUAGAGCCCCUUCUAGGUGCUUGCAGGGGCUUCUAAUUUCUAUUACCAAAGAUUCCCUGAGAUGAUUUCCCUAAACUACCCUUUUCUUAUUCUGAAAAUUACCAAGUUAAACUAGCCCCCCUCUUACCUUGAUAACUGGUCAAGAAUUGACCAUAAAUAAACAAGAUUCUAUAGUAUUCAACUAUAACCACACAACUCUAAAAUUAACUAAUGAAAUUAACUCUAAGACAGUAGGCUGACAAUUAGGCAAUUGAAAUUAAUGUCAAGUAAUUAGGAAUCAAUUAAUCACGACCCAACACAACAUCAAAUUAGAAGAGAAGAAAAAGAAAAUGAAAAGAAAAAGAAAUCAAACGGAACAGAAUUAAAUACAAAAACAGAAUCAAUGAUAAGAAAAACCUAAAAUUUCUAAAUCAAUUGAUCAAAGAGAACAUUGAUGAAGGAGAGAAUAAUGUAUGCGAAGUAAGGAAAGAUCAAGAGAAAAAGAAAACUUACUGAGGAUAAGUCAAACAAAAGGACCCCAAUUUGAGGUCUGGAAUGAUGUGGAUUUUUGUUCUUUACCAAGAACAAACGAGCACAUUAUCUCGUAUCUCUAAUCAAACUCUGGACAAAGAAAGUGGGAAGAACUCGAACCAAUCGGACUUCAAGGUUCCGCCACUUCUACGAUCUGAAAUUCGAAGAGCUCCAGCAACAUUCGAAGGCUAGAGGUUAUGGAUUCACAAAGAGGAAGGUGAGGAGGCUAUUUGGUAUCAAUUUGGGACCGUUUACCGUCGGCGCCGCUGCACACGGCGGGGCAGCCGGCAUUUCUAACGGAUAUUCGAGAUGAUUGGCGGGGAUUUGAGACAUGGGAGUUUGGGGUUUGGAAAGAGGAGGUUACGGAGAGUACACGGUGUAAAUUUUAGAGGGAUUGGAGACUUGCCUCCGCCGCCGGUGAUUUUCGGCCGGCGGCGGAGGGCGGUGGUGAUAUUAGGUUUUCUGUGGG